rnacentral:rRNA from 1 species
UACGGGGGGGGCCAGCGUUGUUCGGAAUUACUGGGCGUAAAGGGCGCGUAGGCGGCCUUCUAAGUCGAACGUGAAAUCCCCGGGCUCAACCCGGGAACUGCGUCCGAUACUGGAAGGCUUGAAUCCGGGAGAGGGAUGCGGAAUUCCAGGUGUAGCGGUGAAAUGCGUAGAUAUCUGGAGGAACACCGGUGGCGAAGGCGGCAUCCUGGACCGGCAUUGACGCUGAGGCGCGAAAGCCAGGGGAGCAAACGGG